rnacentral:rRNA from 1 species
GGGUUGUGAGGUUAAGCGACUAAGCGUACACGGUGGAUGCCCUGGCAGUCAGAGGCGAUGAAGGACGUGCUAAUCUGCGAUAAGCGUCGGUAAGGUGAUAUGAACCAUUAUAACCGGCGAUUUCCGAAUGGGGAAACCCAGUGUGAUUCGUCACACUAUCAUUAACUGAAUCCAUAGGUUAAUGAGGCGAACCGGGGGAACUGAAACAUCUAAGUACCCCGAGGAAAAGAAAUCAACCGAGAUUCCCCCAGUAGCGGCGAGCGAACGGGGAGCAGCCCAGAGCCUGAAUCAGUGUGUGUGUUAGUGGAAGCGUCUGGAAAGGCGUGCGAUACAGGGUGACAGCCCCGUACACAAAAAUGCACAUAUUGUGAGCUCGAUGAGUAGGGCGGGACACGUGGUAUCCUGUCUGAAUAUGGGGGGACCAUCCUCCAAGGCUAAAUACUCCUGACUGACCGAUAGUGAACCAGUACCGUGAGGGAAAGGCGAAAAGAACCCCGGCGAGGGGAGUGAAAAAGAACCUGAAACCGUGUACGUACAAGCAGUGGGAGCACGCUUAGGCGUGUGACUGCGUACCUUUUGUAUAAUGGGUCAGCGACUUAUAUUCUGUAGCAAGGUUAACCGAAUAGGGGAGCCGAAGGGAAACCGAGUCUUAACUGGGCGUUAAGUUGCAGGGUAUAGACCCGAAACCCGGUGAUCUAGCCAUGGGCAGGUUGAAGGUUGGGUAACACUAACUGGAGGACCGAACCGACUAAUGUUGAAAAAUUAGCGGAUGACUUGUGGCUGGGGGUGAAAGGCCAAUCAAACCGGGAGAUAGCUGGUUCUCCCCGAAAGCUAUUUAGGUAGCGCCUCGUGAAUUCAUCUCCGGGGGUAGAGCACUGUUUCGGCAAGGGGGUCAUCCCGACUUACCAACCCGAUGCAAACUGCGAAUACCGGAGAAUGUUAUCACGGGAGACACACGGCGGGUGCUAACGUCCGUCGUGAAGAGGGAAACAACCCAGACCGCCAGCUAAGGUCCCAAAGUCAUGGUUAAGUGGGAAACGAUGUGGGAAGGCCCAGACAGCCAGGAUGUUGGCUUAGAAGCAGCCAUCAUUUAAAGAAAGCGUAAUAGCUCACUGGUCGAGUCGGCCUGCGCGGAAGAUGUAACGGGGCUAAACCAUGCACCGAAGCUGCGGCAGCGACGCUGAUGCGUUGUUGGGUAGGGGAGCGUUCUGUAAGCCUGUGAAGGUGUGCUGUGAGGUAUGCUGGAGGUAUCAGAAGUGCGAAUGCUGACAUAAGUAACGAUAAAGCGGGUGAAAAGCCCGCUCGCCGGAAGACCAAGGGUUCCUGUCCAACGUUAAUCGGGGCAGGGUGAGUCGACCCCUAAGGCGAGGCCGAAAGGCGUAGUCGAUGGGAAACAGGUUAAUAUUCCUGUACUUGGUGUUACUGCGAAGGGGGGACGGAGAAGGCUAUGUUGGCCGGGCGACGGUUGUCCCGGUUUAAGCGUGUAGGCUGGUUUUCCAGGCAAAUCCGGAAAACUAAGGCUGAGGCGUGAUGACGAGGCACUACGGUGCUGAAGCAACAAAUGCCCUGCUUCCAGGAAAAGCCUCUAAGCAUCAGGUAACAUCAAAUCGUACCCCAAACCGACACAGGUGGUCAGGUAGAGAAUACCAAGGCGCUUGAGAGAACUCGGGUGAAGGAACUAGGCAAAAUGGUGCCGUAACUUCGGGAGAAGGCACGCUGAUAUGUAGGUGAAGUCCCUCGCGGAUGGAGCUGAAAUCAGUCGAAGAUACCAGCUGGCUGCAACUGUUUAUUAAAAACACAGCACUGUGCAAACACGAAAGUGGACGUAUACGGUGUGACGCCUGCCCGGUGCCGGAAGGUUAAUUGAUGGGGUCAGCGCAAGCGAAGCUCUUGAUCGAAGCCCCGGUAAACGGCGGCCGUAACUAUAACGGUCCUAAGGUAGCGAAAUUCCUUGUCGGGUAAGUUCCGACCUGCACGAAUGGCGUAAUGAUGGCCAGGCUGUCUCCACCCGAGACUCAGUGAAAUUGAACUCGCUGUGAAGAUGCAGUGUACCCGCGGCAAGACGGAAAGACCCCGU